rnacentral:snoRNA from 1 species
GCGUAUGAUGAACUAUCGGGUCUACUGAUUUGAUGAUGACCCGCUGGAGCACUGAUC